GACAGAGGUGCCGAGCGUUAGGCGGAAUCACUGGGCUUAAAGCGUGUGUAGGCGGAUCGUUAAGUACCUUGUGAAAUCCCACGGCUUAACCGUGGAACUGCUGGGUAUACUGGCGAUCUUGAGGUGCUCAGGGGCGAGCGGAACAGAUGGUGGAGCGGUGAAAUGCGUAGAUAUCGAGAGGAACACCUGAGGUGAAGACGGGUUGCUGGGCCGACACUGACGCUGAGAAGCGAAAGCAUGGGGAGCGAACAGG
rnacentral:rRNA from 1 species